rnacentral:rRNA from 1 species
CAAUAGCGUAUAUUAAAGUUGUUGCAGUUAAAAAGCUCGUAGUUGGAUUUCUGGUUGAAGCGACCGGUCGGGCGUUGAUUCGUCUGCACUGGAGUCGGUUUUGGCCAUCCUCUAGGAAAGUGCGUCUGGUAGUAAGUUAUCGGGCGUAUGAUCCUGGUCUUUUACUGUGAAAAAAUUAGAGUGUUUAAAGCAGGCCUUCGCCUUGAAUACAUUAGCAUGGAAUAAUAAGAUAGGACUUUGGUCUAUUUUGUUGGUUUGCAGACCGAAGUAAUGAUUAAUAGGGAUAGUUGGGGGUAUUUAUAUUCCGAUGUCAGAGGUGAAAUUCUUAGAUUUUCGGAAGAUAAACUUAUGCGAAAGCAUUUACCAAGGAUGUUUUCAUUAA